rnacentral:lncRNA from 1 species
GAAGAUAGAAAACACAUCUUCUUGGAUGGCUUUAUUUCUAAUUUUUUUAAAAAAAUAAUUUGGAAAUAAGCACGAAUAUAUAUUCGUUCACAUCUCAUGACGAAUUAAUUCACAUUAGAAAUCUUACUCCCCAUACCAAUCAUCUUCUCCAAUGGAAAUUCCUCUACCAUUUUGCUCUUUGAAAUUUCUGGAAAAAUAUGAAUGAUAAUAUCUUC